GGCAGUGUAGCAUAAUGGUUAAGGAGAGGGACUCGUAAUCAAAAGGUCGCUGGUUCAAUUCCCCGCUGGGG